CGGAGGGGGCGAGCGUUGUCCGAAGUUACUGGGCGUAAAGCGCGCGUAGGCGGGUUGCUAAGUCCGCUGUGAAAGCCCGUGGCUCAACCUCGGAGGGUCGGUGGAUACUGGCAGUCUUGAAGGUGGUAGGGGGAGAUGGAAUUACCGGUGUAGCGGUGAAAUGCGUAGAGAUCGGUAGGAACACCAGUGGCGAAGGCGGUCUCCUGGCCCACUCUUGACGCUGAGGCGCGAAAGCUGGGGGGAGCGAACGGGAUUAGAUACCCCGGUAGUCCCAGCCCUAAACGAUGGAUACUAGGUGUCGGGGGUAUCGACCCCCCCGGUGCCGCCGCUAACGCAGUAAGUAUCCCGCCUGGGGAGUACGGCCGCAAGGUUG
rnacentral:rRNA from 1 species